UCCCUCUCAGGGUCGCACCUGGAGAGUUUCUAAUACUCUACCAGUCCCGGUUAUGGGAGGGAGAGUCAAGCAGAGGUAUAUCCAUUCCAUUCUUAGCUUGGGCAGUGGCUAGCGAGCGGGAGGCCAUCUGCUACGAGG
rnacentral:snoRNA from 1 species